AUUGAACGCUGGCGGCAGGCCUAACACAUGCAAGUCGAGCGAGCGGCGGACGGGUGAGUAAGGUAUGGGGAUCUGCCCGAUAGAGGGGGAUAACUACUGGAAACGGUGGCUAAUACCGCAUACUUUAGGAUGAACCCAUAUGGUAUGAGCUAGUGGGUGGGGUAAAGGCUCACCUAGGCGACGAUGCCUAGCUGGUCUGAGAGGAUGAUCAGCCACACUGGGACUGAGACACGGCCCAGACGCCUACGGGAGGCAGCAUUGGGGAAUAUUGGGCAAUGGACGCAAGCCUGAUGCAGCCAUGCCGCGUGUGUGAAGAAGGCCUUAGGGUUGUAAAGUUCUGUCGGCGGGGAAGCGGUACCCGCCCAAGAAGCACCGGCUAACUCCGUGCCAGCAGCCGCGGUAAUUC
rnacentral:rRNA from 1 species